rnacentral:rRNA from 1 species
AACGAACGCUGGCGGCGUGGAUAAGACAUGCAAGUCGAACGGGAGUUUGUUUAUAGCAAUAUGAGCGAAUUCUAGUGGCGAAAGGGUGCGUAACACGUGGCUACCUACCUCGAAGUUGGGGAUAGCUCGGCGAAAGCCGGAUUAAUACCGAAUGUGACCGUAAGGUCAAAGCUGGGGAUCGUAAGACCUGGCGCUUUGAGAUGGGGCUGCGGCCUAUCAGGUAGUUGGCGGGGUAA